rnacentral:rRNA from 1 species
UACGUAGGGUGCGAGCGUUGUCCGGAAUUAUUGGGCGUAAAGAGCUCGUAGGCGGUUUGUCGCGUCUGCCGUGAAAGUCCGGGGCUCAACUCCGGAUCUGCGGUGGGUACGGGCAGACUAGAGUGAUGUAGGGGAGACUGGAAUUCCUGGUGUAGCGGUGAAAUGCGCAGAUAUCAGGAGGAACACCAAUGGCGAAGGCAGGUCUCUGGGCAUUAACUGACGCUGAGGAGCGAAAGCAUGGGGAGCGAACAGG